rnacentral:misc_RNA from 1 species
GGUUCCUCCCACACUCUAGGGUCUCGCUGCAGCUUCCAUACAUUCACCAGUAUGCGAGUCCCACGAGGCACAGCAUAGCCUGCAACACAGCAAUCUUCGAUGGCCUCGUGAGGGACCAGGAGUUGGGAGGGCGGGUAGAGGCGGAAAACUUCCUUAACGACAGCCUGGAGGUAGACUAGCAUCUUAAUGUCCGACUCCUCCACCAAUCUCUCUCUCCCAACAUGAAAAUCGAGCUCAUCCUGUACCUUCUUCAGGACUUUCUUGUUGUUCACAAGCGCUGCAACGGUCCAUGUCAUUGUGACCGAUGUGGUGUCAGC